AGAGACGAUGCGCCUAAUUGGCCCCGUUUUUUGAUGAAGGAGUGGUUCUUACUCUUUUAUGUUGUCUAUCAAUAUGUUAUUUAAAAUAUUGUGUACUGUUGUAAACAGGCCAAGACAGUCUCAUAGCUCAGCUGGUUAGAGCGCUACACUGAUAAUGUAGAGGUCGGCAGUUCGAGUCUGCCUGAGACUACAAAGUUGUCGAAAGACAGACGAGAAGUCUAUGCUGAGCGUAGUCGAAGUAAGUCUGCCUGAGACAACAACGUUCAUAUAAUUGAAAUACUGAAUAGGAAAUUCUAGAAGUUGGGUAGUAGUUAAGUACUAACUGCUAACUACUAAUUACUAACGACUAGUAAUUGGGGGAUUAGCUCAGCUGGCUAGAGCGCCUGCCUUGCACGCAGGAGGUCAUCGGUUCGACUCCGAUAUUCUCCACGAUGGAUGCUUUAAGAAGUGGAAUCGAAAUUAAAGGAAACAAAAGAAGCUUGCUUUUUGUUGUUUUUGAGAUAAGAUUUUUUUAAUGCAUUCUCAAGAUUGAAGUUUGAGGAGCAGCUUGGCUACUCCGAUAUACUAAUAAUCUUGCAUAACGUUCAUUGACAUAUUGGGACGUAUUAUAAAGACACGAGUCAUUUAUAAUAAGUCAAAAGAAGAAACUUAAGUAGUAGAAUAGAAUACAAUAAGUUAGAAGUAAUUAUAAGGAUUACGAGAGGGCGCAUAUAUCAAGUGAUAUAUAGUGC
rnacentral:tRNA from 1 species